rnacentral:lncRNA from 1 species
GGACAAAGCUUUUCGCUAAUGCACUUCACAACCAAAAUAACUCUGCUAGUGGUAUCUUCUUGGCUGGGGAAUUAGUCUACUAGCUAGUUUAUAAAGCCGGGGUUUUUUAUUACAACUUUUCACAUUACACACAUUACCUGUCGUUGUUGACGAAGCCGUCUCAUCAGGGCAGUAACUCUGGUCACUAUGAGAGGCUUCAUGAUGUCCUUUUCAUCGGAGUCUCUGGCAACAACGGACGAGGUGCCACAAGGGUAUUUGUGUUGCAUGACACAUUUUUACUCUGAGAUCCUGCCAGACAAGCUGCGAAAAUAACAAGCGAACAGUUAAUGAAAUUAUUUUUAGAGGUCGCUAAACCAUAGCAAUCACAUUGCUGGACAUGUUACGAUAGCCACCUUUGCUCGUUCUGGGAAGUGGUACAUUGUGGGCCUGGUGUACGACUCCCCAGUCUUCGCCCCCCUACAAAGACAAGCUUAGAGUAUCCAUGGGCAUCCUGACUCCACAUACCAAUGCCAACAUCCUGACUCCACAGACCAACGGCAAUGUCAACAUCCUGACUGAACAGACCAACGGCAAUGUCAACAUCCUGACUCCACAGACCAACGGCAAUGCCAACAUCCUGACUGAACAGACCAACGGCAACGUCAACAUCCUGACUCCACAAACCAAUGGCAACGUCAACAUCCUGACUCCACAAACCAAUGACAACGUCAACAUCCUGACUCCACAAACCAAUGGCAACGUCAAUCUCCUGACUCCACAGACCAACGUCAAUCUCCUGACUCCACAGACCAACGUCAAUCUCCUGACUCCACAGACCAACGUCAAUCUCCUGACUCCACAGACCAACAUCAAUCUCCUGACUCCACAGACCAACGUCAAUGUCAACCUCACCAAGUCGGCCCAGAGGAUAACAGAAUGAUAUACAACACCAGAAUGAGCAUUGGCAUCCCGGCAACCUAACUAAAAGACAGCCACCUUGGUUAGGGUAUUGAAGAUGUACUAAGAUGGACGCAUAUUCCUAUUCUAUCAUUAUGUUCUUUCUCCUUGUGUGAAGAUCGUCAUGAUGCCGCAGUAAGCUCUAUGCAUACGAUAAGUCAGUGAUACAUGGUGAAUUCAUCCUUUUUUUUAUGAGCAUGUCCUUAUU